UUGAACGCUGGCGGCAUGCUUUACACAUGCAAGUCGAACGGUAACAGGGUGCUUGCACCGCUGACGAGUGGCGAACGGGUGAGUAAUGCAUCGGAAUGUACCGUGUAAUGGGGGAUAGCUCGGCGAAAGCCGGAUUAAUACCGCAUACGCCCUGAGGGGGAAAGUGGGGGACCGAAAGGCCUCACGUUAUACGAGCAGCCGAUGUCUGAUUAGCUAGUUGGUGAGGUAAAGGCUCACCAAGGCGUCGAUCAGUAGCGGGUCUGAGAGGAUGAUCCGCCACACUGGGACUGAGACACGGCCCAGACUCCUACGGGAGGCAGCAGUGGGGAAUUUUGGACAAUGGGCGCAAGCCUGAUCCAGCCAUGCCGCGUGUCUGAAGAAGGCCUUCGGGUUGUAAAGGACUUUUGUCCGGGAGCAAAUCCUAGUGGUUAAUACCUACUGGGGCUGAGAGUACCGGAAGAAUAAGCACCGGCUAACUACGUG
rnacentral:rRNA from 1 species